GUACACGCUGUGACUAGCAUAUCAAUAAGCGGAGGAAAAGAAACUAACAAGGAUUCCCCUAGUAACGGCGAGUGAAGCGGGAAGAGCUCAAAUUUGAAAUCUUAAAGGGUUUCCCUUUACGAAUUGUAGUUUAAAGAAGUGUUUUCUGUUGAGGUUUUGGUAAAAGUUCUUUGGAAUAGGACAUCAUAGAGGGUGAGAAUCCCGUAUUUGACCUUUACUUUCAACUUUGUGAUACACUUUCAAAGAGUCGGAUUGUUUGGGAAUGCAGUCCAAAAUGGGUGGUAAAUUUCAUCUAAAGCUAAAUAUUGGCGAGAGACCGAUAGCGAACAAGUACCGUGAGGGAAAGAUGAAAAGAACUUUGAAAAGAGAGUUAGACAGUACGUGAAAUUGUCAAAAGGGAAGCGUUUGACACCAGUGUUGUUUGUCUGAAAAUCAAUUAAAGAACUGUUUAUGCUAAGCUGUUUAGACUUUAUCAGCUAUCUGUUUAGUUUUGAGCUUUUCUUUAAUGCACUUUUCAGUUAACAAGUCAACAUCAAUUUCUUUUGCUGUAAAAAAGCUUGAGGAAGGUGGCUUGAGAUUCGUCUUAAGUGUUUAUAGCCUCUUGCCUAUGCAGUCGGAGAGAUUGAGGUCUGCAGCGUAGAUCCUUCGGGGCUAAAUGCAUUUGUGCUAAGUUAUAGCAUUUUAUAGACAACUUGUUGACUAUGAUUUGUCUUGUAGCUUACUCGCUUAUGUUAUUUUACCUACGCUUAGGAUGUUGACGAGACUGUCGAUCUCAUCUAUACAUGACUCUGUGCAUAUCAAUAAGCGGAGGAAAAGCAUACCUACGCUUAGGAUGUUGAUAUGCAUGACUGAUAU
rnacentral:rRNA from 1 species